UGCCAGCAUCCCUCAGCAGCUGAAGGCUCCUGAUCGAAGAUUCAGCAAAUGAGUAUGCCAAGCAUACUGCUGAGGAGUACACUUCCCAAACAAUGUGCAUCUUUCAGAACCUUUGAAAGUCUGUAAGACAGAAACAAAGACUGGAGAACCAUCAUCAUCAUCAUCAUCAUUGACGCACAUCUCCCACCCCCCUGCAUUUAAGUCACCAAAGCCACAACAGACAAGCAACUAAAAAGGAAAAUGCC